AGAGUUUGACCCUGGCUCAGGAUGAACGCUAGCGAAAUGCCUAACACAUGCAAGUCGAACGGAUCUUGCGUCGUAGCAAUACGUAGUAAGAUUAGUGGCAAACGAGCGAGUAACGCGUGCUUAACUUGCCCCGAAGAUGGGUAUAACUACAGAGAUGUAGCUAAUUCCCAAUAUGCUCACGAUGGUGAAAUUCCAAUGUGAGGAAAGAUUUAUCGCUUCGGGAGAGUGGUGCGUCCUAUCAGGUAGUUGGUAAGGUAACGGCUUACCAAGCCUAUGACGGGUAACCGGUCUGAGAUGAUGUCCGGUCGCGAUGGGACUGAGAUACGGCCCAUACUCCUACGGGAGGCAGCAGUGGGGAAUCUUGCACAAUGGACGAAAGUCUGAUGCAGCAAUUUCGCGUGAAGGAUGAAGCAUUACGGUGUGUAAACUUCUUUUUUGGCAGAAGACGAAUGACGGUAUGUCAAGAAUAAGAGACGGCUAACUACGUGCCAGCAGCCGCGGUAAUACGUAGGUCUCAAGCGUUGUCCGGAUUUACUGGGCGUAAAGUGUCCGUAGUCUGAAUUGUAAGUCUGUUUUCAAAUCCUACGACUCAAUCGUAGAAAGGGAGUGGAUACUGCAAUUCUGGAAGUAUCUGGGGGUUAGUGGAAUUUCCGGUGGAGCGGUGAAAUGCGUUGAUAUCGGAAGGAACGCCGAAAGCGAAAGCAGCUAACUACAGAAUACUUGACGAUGAGGGACGACAGUUCGGGUAGCAAACAGGAUUAGAUACCCUGGUAGUCCGAACCGUAAAUUAUGCUUGCUAGAUGUUUUUGUCAAUUUAUUGGCAGGAGUGUCGUAAUCUAACGAGUUAAGCAAGUCGCCUGGGUAGUAUAUUCGCAAGAAUGAAACUCAAAGGGAUAGGCGGGGGAACACACAAGCAGUGGAUUAUCUAGAUUAAUUGGAUAAUAAGCCAAGAAUCUUACCUAGGAUUGACAUGUAUUGUGUCUGCGGUGAAAGUCGCAUAUCCGUAGCAAUACGGAGCUUUACACAGAUGGUGCAUGGUCGUCGUCAGCUCGUGCCGCAAGGUGUCUAGUUAAGUCUGGAAACGAGCGCA
rnacentral:rRNA from 1 species